GACAGAGGGUGCAAACGUUUGUUCGGAAUUACUGGGCGUAAAGCGCGUGUAGGCGGCCCUGCAAGUCGGAUGUGAAAUCCCACGGCUCAACCGUGGAAGUGCAUUCGAAACUGCAGGGCUAGAGUCCUGGAGAGGAAGGUGGAAUGCUUGGUGUAGAGGUGAAAUUCGUAGAUAUCAAGCGGAACACCGGUGGCGAAGGCGGCCUUCUGGACAGUGACUGACGCUGAGACGCGAAAGCGUGGGGGAGCAAACAGGGAUUAAGAAACCCUGGGUAACG
rnacentral:rRNA from 1 species